CCUACGGGUGGCAGCAGUGGGGAAUAUUGCACAAUGGGGGAAACCCUGAUGCAGCGACGCCGCGUGAGUGAAGAAGUAUUUCGGUACGUAAAGCUCUAUCAGCAGGGAAGAAAAUGACGGUACCUGACUAAGAAGCCCCGGCUAACUACGUGUCAGCAGCCGCGGUAAUACGUAGGGGGCAAGCGUUAUCCGGAUUUACUGGGUGUAAAGGGAGCGUAGACGGCAGCGCAAGUCUGGAGUGAAAUCCCAUGGCUUAACCAUGGAACUGCUUUGGAAACUGUGCAGCUAGAGUGCAGGAGAGGUAAGCGGAAUUCCUAGUGUAGCGGUGAAAUGCGUAGAUAUUAGGAGGAACACCAGUGGCGAAGGCGGCUUACUGGACUGUAACUGACGUUGAGGCUCGAAAGCGUGGGGAGCAAACAGGAUUAGAUACCCCAGUAGUC
rnacentral:rRNA from 1 species